UAAAGACUGUAUAUUUUUUGA
rnacentral:piRNA from 1 species